AGUCCCUCAUUUGGUGCGCUUAGCUGUUUUUCAAUUUGAUAUUGCUAGCUGCCUUGUGAAGGGCUUA
rnacentral:pre_miRNA from 1 species